GGGGGAUUAGCUCAGUUGGUAGAGCGCCUGCCUUGCAAGCAGGAGGUCAGCGGUUCGACCCCGCUAUCCUCCACCA
rnacentral:tRNA from 3 species